rnacentral:rRNA from 1 species
UACAGAGGCCACGAGCGUUAGGCGGAAUCACUGGGCUUAAAGCGUGUGUAGGUGGAUGGGUAAGUACCUUGUGAAAUCCCACGGCUCAACCGUGGAACUGCUUGGUAUACUGCCUGUCUUGAGGCACUCAGGGGCGAGCGGAACAGAUGGUGGAGCGGUGAAAUGCGUAGAUAUGCGGAGGAACACCGAUGGCGAAGGCAAUCCCCUGGACCUGUACUGACGCUCAUGCACGAAAGCGUGGGGAGCAAACAGG